CCUCCGGGCGGCAGCAGUGAGGAAUCUUUGUCAAUGGACGAGAGUCUGAACCAGCCACGUAGCGUGAAGGAUGACUGCCCUCUGGGUUGUAAACUUCUUUUAUAUGGGACUAAAAUGUUCCACGUGUGGGAUUUUGUCUGUACCAUAUGAAUUCGGAUUUGCUAACUCCUUGCCAGCCGCCGCGGUAAUACGGAGGAUCCGAGCGUUAUCCGGAUUUAUUUGGUUUAAAGGGAGCGUAGGUGGAUUGUUAAGUCAGUUGUGAAAGUCUGCGGCUCAACCGUAAAAUUGCAGUUGAGACUGGCAGUCUUGAGUACAGUAGAGGUGGGCGGAAUUCGUGGUGUAGCGGUGAAAUGCUUAGAUAUCACGAAGAACUCCGAUUGCGAAGGCAGGUCACUGGACUGCAACUGACACUGAGGCUCGAAAGUGUGGGUAUCAAACAGGAUUAGAUACCCCUGUAGUC
rnacentral:rRNA from 1 species